UACGGAGGGUGCAAGCGUUAUCCGGAUUCACUGGGUUUAAAGGGUGCGUAGGAGGGCAGGUAAGUCAGUGGUGAAAUCUCCAAGCUUAACUUGGAACUGCCGUUGAUACUAUCUGUCUUGAAUACCGUGGAGGUGAGCGGAAUAUGUCAUGUAGCGGUGAAAUGCUUAGAUAUGACAUAGAACACCAAUUGCGAAGGCAGCUCGACUACACGAAUAUUGACUCUGAGGCACGAAAGCGUGGGGAUCAAACAGG
rnacentral:rRNA from 1 species